rnacentral:rRNA from 1 species
UACGUAGGGUGCAAGCGUUGUCCGGAAUUAUUGGGCGUAAAGAGCUCGUAGGCGGUCUGUCGCGUCUGCUGUGAAAACUCGGGGCUUAACCCCGGGCCUGCAGUGGGUACGGGCAGACUAGAGUGCGGUAGGGGAGACUGGAACUCCUGGUGUAGCGGUGAAAUGCGCAGAUAUCAGGAGGAACACCGGUGGCGAAGGCGGUUCUCUGGGCCUGUACUGACGCUGAGAAGCGAAAGCAUGGGGAGCGAACAGG